UACGUAGGGUGCAGGCGUUAAUCGGAAUUACUGGGCGUAAAGCGUGCGCAGGCGGUUUGCUAAGACAGGUGUGAAAUCCCCGGGCUUAACCUGGGAACUGCGCUUGUAACUGGACAGCUGGAGUGUGGCAGAGGGGGGUGGAAUUCCACGUGUAGCAGUGAAAUGCGUAGAGAAUGUGGAGGAACACCGAUGGCGAAGGCAGCCCCCUGGGCUAACACUGACGCUCGAUGCACGAAAGCGUGGGGAGCAAACAGG
rnacentral:rRNA from 1 species